GGUGGUUCUCCGGUGACGCAACCCAGGAUCGGGCUCCCUCCUCUCCGGUGCCAGGUGCAUCACCCGAGAACCACA
rfam:Myotis lucifugus cont2.23780, whole genome shotgun sequence.